rnacentral:rRNA from 1 species
CCGUAGGUGAACCUGCGGAAGGAUCAGUAGAGAACCGCCGGCGCAAGCCGGUUCUACCCCACACACACCUGUGAACCGUUAAUUUGGACGCGGAUUAGCCCUCGUGGCGAAACCGUCCUCUCACAAAACAUCUUAUAAUGUCACGAACGUAGUCUUAUUUUAACAAAUAAAACUUUCAACAACGGAUCUCUUGGCUCCCACAUCGAUGAAGAACGCAGCGAAAUGCGAUAAGUAAUGUGAAUUGCAGAAUUCAGUGAAUCAUCGAGUCCUUGAACGCACCUUGCGCCCUCUGGUAUUCCGGAGGGCAUGCCUGUUUGAGUGUCAUGAAACUCUCAACCCCCCGGGUUUUACGAUCCGUCGGGUUGGAUUUGGGCGCUGCCGCUUUGUUGCCGGCUCGCCUUAAAGGUCUUAGUGGGAAUAUUCGGACCCAUAGCUUGGCGUAAUAAGUUUCGCUGGGCUCGUGGCCGAUGACCGUCCGCUCACAACACCCCAUAUUUUAUGAUCUGACCUCAAAUCAGGUAGGGCUACCCGCUGAACUUA